UCUAGGCUUCGCAGUGCUGGAUCCUGGUAAACAGGCGUUCAAGUAACCUAAGCUUCGGUGAAGGGCAAUGCUUGUUGUAAGCUCGGGAGGUCUUGUCAACCUCCGUCGUAUCACCUGCGUACCUCC
rfam:Rose spring dwarf-associated virus, complete genome.